rnacentral:misc_RNA from 1 species
UAAAACAGAUAAUGGACCUGCC